rnacentral:tRNA from 1 species
CUGCCCGUAGCUCAGUUGGAUAGAGCAGCUGCCUUCUAAGCAGCAGGCCGGGGGUUCGAAUCCCUCCGGGCAGGCCA